GGGCGUUUGGCAGAGCGGUUGAAUGCGACGGUCUUGAAAACCGUUAAGGGUGAAAGCCCUUCCAGGGUUCGAAUCCCUGAGCGCCCGCCA
rnacentral:tRNA from 1 species